AAUAUUAGGGUAACAUUUUCCUCCAUGUUAGCAAAUCGAAAAAAAGCAGAGCCCCGGCAGACUGGAGGGGGUCCACCUCUGCAGCCCUCACAGAGGCUGAGGAGAUGGCCCUCAGCCAACAGAGUAUGGGUCCUAUGGCUGAGGGCAUCCCUGGGGGGAGCUCCUCUGAUCCCCCCCACCCCCCAGGAUAGAAGUGCCUUUAUAAGAGUUACUGAUGGCGUCAUCGCCCCACUUGAACCAGAUGGCCUCACCAACCUCCAUGCAAUUCUUCACCUUCCACAGAUUAUUAAUAAUGUCUUGGUAAUUGCUGAACACAACCGUUAAUGUCAUUACAGGAAGAUGAUGGAGAAACAUUGUCUGCGGCAUUCGAAAGGGAAGAGGAAAUGCCUAUUGAGGAUGAAAUCGAAUCCAAUGAGAGGCCAUCCAUUUCUAAAUCACAGCUUACCUCUGUAAGAUUCUCCCUGGAAUUAUAAUGAAACGCUCUACUUGGCACUGUGAAAUCCAAUCUCAUCUUUUGCAUUCCUAUAGCUUCCAGUCAAAGACUUAUAUAAAAUCUAUCUAGAAAAGAAAAUACACAAAGCAGACUUGGAAAUGGACCAACUUAGGCAAAAGAUGCAAAAGGAUGCUUUGGAGAUCCACAUUUUGGAACAUAAGUUAAAGGUGGGUGAGGUGCAAACUGGGAUACUGUUCCCUGCUCUAAAAACAUACCCAAUAUGAAUGACUUUUUUUGUGCUUUCAGGAAAUAAAGAAAUCCUCAUAAAAAGUAGAUUGUCUUUAUUAGAACACGGGCUGU